GAACUAUCUCCUGAGUGCAGCAAGUUGUAGCGGCACUGCAGAGCGUGUUUCCCUUUGGGACACUUCUUAUCUAGAAGCUCACUUUGGUUUCUUCUAAACUAAGCCACUUCUCCCUUUUACCCUGUCCUGAACAAGGAAACAGCCGCCAAGCAUCAGGGGAGUCCCUAUGAGCCAGCGCCGAGGAGCCGCUUAGCAGUCUCCCCGGACCCAGCUCUGGAGGAGCCGCAAGCAUGCACCCAGGGUUCUGGCUGCUCCUAGUUUCCUUGUGUCUGAGCAAAGAAUUGGCAAAAGCAGGAGAGAAGUCCUAUGGAAAAUCAUGUGAGGGACAAGACUGCAGUUGGGGCUGUACAUGCUCUCCUGAGAAAGGAG